rnacentral:misc_RNA from 1 species
GAUGAAGAACGCAGCGAAAUACGAUAAUUAAUGUGAAUUGCAGAAUUCAGUGAAUCAUCGAAUCUUUGAACGCACCUUGCGCCCCUUGGUUAUUCCAAAGGGCAUGCCUGUUUGAGUAUCAUGAACACCUCAACUCUUGUGGUUUCCCACAAUGAGCUUGGACUGUGGAGGUUUUGUUGGCCCUGUGGUCAGCUCCUCUCAAAUGGAUCAGCUUACCGGUGUUUGGUGGCAUUACGGGUGUGAUAACUAUCUACGCUCGUGGUCGUCUCCAAAUAACCUCCAGUGAUGGAGGUUCGCUGGAGCUUAUAAAUGUCUCUCCCCAGUGAAGACAGCCUUUGAACGUUCGAUCUCAAAUCAGGUAGGACUACCCGCUGAACUUAAGCAUAUCAAUAAGCGGAGGA